UGAACGCUGGCGGCGUGCCUAAUACAUGCAAGUCGAGCGAACAGAUAAGGAGCUUGCUCCUUUGACGUUAGCGGCGGACGGGUGUACAAGGCCCGGAUAACCUACCUAUAAGACUGGGAUAACUUCGGGAAACCGGAGCUAAUACCGGAUAACAUAUUGAACCGCAUGGUUCAAUAGUGAAAGGCGGCUUUGCUGUCACUUAUAGAUGGAUCCGCGCCGUAUUAGCUAGUUGGUAAGGUAACGGCUUACCCAGGCAACGAUACGUAGCCGACCUGAGAGGGUGAUCGGCCACACUGGAACUGAGUCACCGUCCAGACUCCUACGGGAGGCAGCAGUAGGGAAUCUUCCGCAAUGGGCGAAAGCCUGACGGAGCAACACGACACGAGUGAUGAAGGUCUUCGGAUCGUAAAACUCUGUUAUCAGGGAAGAACAAAUGUGUAAGUAACUGUGCAGAGGAUGACGGUACCUGAUCAGAAAGCCACGGCUAACUACGUGCCAGCAGCCGCGGUAAUACGUUUGUGGCAAGCGUUAUCCGGAAUUAUUGGGCGUAAAGCGCGCGUAGGCGGUUUUUUAAGUCUGAUGUGAAAGCCCACGGCUCAACCGCGGAAACCCCCUAACACUUAGCACUCAUGAGUGCAGAAGAGGAAAGUGGAAUUCCAUGUGUAGCGGUGAAAUGCGCAGAGAUAUGGAGGAACACCAGUGGCGAAGGCGAGAGUCGCCUCUGUAACUGACGCUGAUGUGCGAAAGCGUGGGGAUCAAACAGGAUUAGAUACCCUGGUAGUCCACGCCGUAAACGAUGAGUGCUAGUUUCCAAUGGACCCUCCCCGGUUAGUGCUGCAGCUAACGCAUUAAGCACUCCGCCUGGGGAGUACGACCGCAAGGUUGAAAUUCCCAGAAAUUGACGGGGACCCGCACAAGCGGUGGAGCAUGUGGUUUAAUUCGAAGCAACGCGAAGAACCUUACCAAAUCUUGACAUUACUACCGACCUCUUCGAACGGGGACUUGUCCCCUUCGGGGGACAAAGUGACAGGUGGUGCAUGGUUGUCGUCAGCUCGUGUCGUGGGGUGGCUGCGUCAGACCCGCAACGAGCGCAACCCUUAAGCUUAGUUGCCAUCAUUAAGUUGGGCACUCUAAGUUGACUGCCGGUCCCAAACCAGCUAAGGAUUGGGAUGACGUCAAAUCAUCAUGCCCCUUAUGAUUUGGGCUACACACGUGCUACAAUGGACAAUACAAAGGGCAGCUAAACCGCUUGGCUCCUCAAAUCCCAUAAAGUUGUUCUCAGUUCGGAUUGUAGUCUGCAACUCGACUACAUGAAGCUGGAUACAUUACUCACCCUAGAUCAGCAUGCUACGGUGAAUACGUUCCCGGAGCUUGUACACACCGCCCGUCACACCACGAGAGUUUGUAACACCCGAAGCCGGUGGAGUAACCAUUUAUGGAGCUAGCCGUCGAAGGUGGGACAAAUGAUUG
rnacentral:rRNA from 1 species